GAUGAACGCUGGCGGCGUGCCUAAUACAUGCAAGUCGAGCGAACGGACGAGAAGCUUGCUUCUCUGAUGUUAGCGGCGGACGGGUGAGUAACACGUGGAUAACCUACCUAUAAGACUGGGAUAACUUCGGGAAACCGGAGCUAAUACCGGAUAAUAUUUUGAACCGCAUGGUUCAAAAGUGAAAGACGGUCUUGCUGUCACUUAUAGAUGGAUCCGCGCUGCAUUAGCUAGUUGGUAAGGUAACGGCUUACCAAGGCAACGAUGCAUAGCCGACCUGAGAGGGUGAUCGGCCACACUGGAACUGAGACACGGUCCAGACUCCUACGGGAGGCAGCAGUAGGGAAGCUUCCACAAUGGGCGGAAGCCUGACGGAGCAACGCCGCGUGAGUGAUGAAGGUCCUCGGAUCGUAAAACUCUGUUAUUAGGGAAGAACAUAUGUGUAAGUAACUAUGCACAUCUUGACGGUACCUAAUCAGAAAGCCACGGCUAACUACGUG
rnacentral:rRNA from 1 species